AACGAGCGAGCGAAGCCUUUGCCCUCGAGCGACGCCACACCAGACUCUUCGCCCUCGCAGCCGCCGCCGAUCCCCACCCUCAAACGCCGCCGCCCGUCGCUGCCGCCCCCGCCACCUCCCGUCGCGGGCACGCGGGAGGAGCCCUGCCCGGCCAUGGCGACACCGCCGGCGGCCUCCUCCUCCCCCUCACCUUCUCUCUCUCUCCCAAGGGAGGGAAGGGAAUGGAAGGGAUCUGAUUGGAGCGGUGGAUCUGCGCCCUUGCCGUCUCUUCUUUUCUUCACCGAUUCCAGGAGGAGAUCGAAGUGGGAGGUAGACGAGCAGGAGCGCCGCGUCCGCGACAACGAUGAGCGACAACCCAGGUUCUCCUCUCCCAUCGCAGGGGUCGGCGAGUGGCAGCAGAUGCGGGACACCAACUGGUGGAGCAACGGACAGUGAGAGGCGGGACAGCAACUGGGCGCGCCUCUCGCGGCCGACUUCCACGGCGGCGACAUCGUUUACCUUGGCGCCUGCUUCUUUCUGACUCAGCGAUCCCCGCGGGCACCGAUGGACGGCGACGGGCAGCACGUGCGGCCGCGGAGCCGCGCGCUCCUGACCGAUGACGAGGAUGACGGGACGUACGCCGGCGACGUGUACAGCGGCAGCCUCGCCGCCACGGGCGGGUCUCGUGCUGGCCGGAUCUUGGGGCGGUAGCAGUACUUGGUGCAGCGCCGCCGCGGCGACUACGGCAACAUCGGGGUCGUCGUCGUCCUCAUCCGCACAGGGAAGCUGGACUGGGAGGUUUGCUGCUUCCGGUCGGCAGACGAUGGCUAUGACGCUAUGCCCAACACGAGUGCUAACGCCAUCACGGCCGGCACCACUGGCACCAGCAGCCGUUCGGUGUGCUCUCCGGGAUGCUGCAGUCGAAGGGUCGAGCAGGAGCUAUGGAUGCCAGCAAACAAGCCUGUGCAGACGGCAAUGCAUCAAUCAAAUCGGAUGGAGAACAUCACACAACAGGUAAACAUUCUUGUAUACUGAUAUUCAAAAAUUACAUCUUUGUUUGAUUCAGAUAGUUUUCAGCAAGAGGAUGGAUAUACUGUGAUGUUAUUUCUGGUUAAUAAUUUUUUGGCAAAAUUUUAUGAUAAGCCUUUCUCCAGGACAUAAAGAAAAUGGUGGCACUUUGGGUUUUGAAGACGCCGCCUCGCGUAGGACUACGAACAUGGGACGCUCGGUCGAGUUUUUCUUAACUUGUCAGGAUUCUCAUGCUGCAAAUUUAGUAACGGGGCAAAUUUUUGGGUGUCCUGAUGUGUUUGCGGAUUGAUGAAAAUUUGGCGAGGGAGAUCAUAAACCAUCGCUUGCUGCAGCACAUCAAUUGUUGAAUUCGUUUGAAGGAGCUGUCAAUUGUUGAAUCCGCUUGAAGGAGGUGUGUUUGCUCUCUGUUCCCUUGAGUCAAUCACCAUGAUUUUACAUCGAGACAAUGUUUCUUCUUCAAAAGGGGAUGAUGAACAACAUGGGAACAAGAAGGAACUUUACCCGCCUGUUAUAGACUAAGCACUAAAAGCAUGCUUGCAUUCACUUUAGCUUGUUCAUUCUGUUAUAGGGCAGUGCUUUCGUUAUGCUUAUGAUGCUUUCAGUUUACGGAAAGAUUUGUUCCAAGGAUAAAUUCUGAUCUUUUGAAACUAUGUUUUUUAGUGAUAACCUUUAUAAGCUGGACUGCUUAUGGGCGCUGGAAGUCUUGUAAUAACCGUUGUUGUACAUACAUUUAUCAUCAUAAGAGAGAUAAUAUAUUCUUUUGAUCCUC
rnacentral:rRNA from 1 species